AUUGAACGCUGGCGGCAGGCCUAACACAUGCAAGUCGAACGGUAACAGGAAGAUGCUUGCUUCUUUGCUGACGAGUGGCGGACGGGUGAGUAAUGUCUGUGAAACUGCCUGAUGGAGGGGGAUAACUACUGGAAACGGUAGCUAAUACCGCAUAACGUCGCAAGACCAAAGAGGGGGACCUUCGGGCCUCUUGCCUUCGGAUGUGCCCAGAUGGGAUUAGCUAGUAGGUGGGGUAACGGCUCACCUAGGCGACGAUCCCUAGCUGGUCUGAGAGGAUGACCAGCCACACUGGAACUGAGACACGGUCCAGACUCCUACGGGAGGCAGCAGUGGGGAAUAUUGCACAAUGGGCGCAAGCCUGAUGCAGCCAUGCCGCGUGUAUGAAGAAGGCCUUCGGGUUGUAAAGUACUUUCAGCGGGGAGGAAGGGAGUAAAGUUAAUACCUUUGCUCAUUGACGUUACCCGCAGAAGAAGCACCGGCUAACUCCGUG
rnacentral:rRNA from 1 species